CCUACGGGGUGCAGCAGUGGGGAAUAUUGGACAAUGGGCGAAAGCCUGAUCCAGCCAUGCCGCGUGUGUGAAGAAGGCCUUCGGGUUGUAAAGCACUUUCAGUGGGGAAGAAAGCCUUGGGGCUAAUACCCUCGAGGAAGGACAUCACCCACAGAAGAAGCACCGGCUAACUCCGUGCCAGCAGCCGCGGUAAUACGGAGGGUGCGAGCGUUAAUCGGAAUUACUGGGCGUAAAGCGCGCGUAGGCGGUCUGAUAAGCCGGUUGUGAAAGCCCCGGGCUCAACCUGGGAACGGCAUCCGGAACUGUCAGGCUAGAGUGCAGGAGAGGAAGGUAGAAUUCCCGGUGUAGCGGUGAAAUGCGUAGAGAUCGGGAGGAAUACCAGUGGCGAAGGCGGCCUUCUGGACUGACACUGACGCUGAGGUGCGAAAGCGUGGGUAGCAAACAGGAUUAGAUCCCCCAGUAGUC
rnacentral:rRNA from 1 species